UGGGGAAUAUUGCACAAUGGGCGCAAGCCUGAUGCAGCCAUGCCGCGUGUAUGAAGAAGGCCUUCGGGUUGUAAAGCACUUUCAGCGGGGAGGAAGGCGUUAAGGUUAAUAACCUUGGCGAUUGACGUUACCCGCAGAAGAAGCACCGGCUAACUCCGUGCCAGCAGCCGCGGUAAUACGGAGGGUGCAAGCGUUAAUCGGAAUUACUGGGCGUAAAGCGCACGCAGGCGGUCUGUCAAGUCGGAUGUGAAAUCCCCGGGCUCAACCUGGGAACUGCAUUCGAAACUGGCAGGCUAGAGUCUUGUAGAGGGGGGUAGAAUUCCAGGUGUAGCGGUGAAAUGCGUAGAGAUCUGGAGGAAUACCGGUGGCGAAGGCGGCCCCCUGGACGAAGACUGACGCUCAGGUGCGAAAGCGUGGGGAGCAAACAGG
rnacentral:rRNA from 1 species